rnacentral:rRNA from 1 species
UACAGAGGGUGCGAGCGUUAAUCGGAAUUACUGGGCGUAAAGCGUGCGCAGGCGGUUUUGUAAGUCUGUCGUGAAAGCCCCGGGCUCAACCUGGGAAUUGCGAUGGAGACUGCAAGGCUUGAAUCUGGCAGAGGGGGGUAGAAUUCCACGUGUAGCAGUGAAAUGCGUAGAGAUGUGGAGGAACACCGAUGGCGAAGGCAGCCCCCUGGGCCAAUACUGACGCUCAGGCACGAAAGCGUGGGGAGCAAACAGG